GACUUGAAGACAUCUUGUUUUUAUUGUAAGAUAUUUAUGUUUAGACAAUACAUUUAGCAGAUGCUGAUCAAUACACGCUCAGUACAUUGAUGAACACUUUGGUUCUUGUGUGUGGAUGUUAGAGCUGCUGCUCUGGCAGGGCUGCUUUAGGAGAUGUUUCUCCAGGGAGGUGAGAGCAGGAGGCUCGAAGGGAAAAUCAGAGCAUACCCUCUAGGACUCUCUAGACCACACCACUGAACUCUUCAACCCUUUAGGUCCUUAAUUUUUAAAUCUAUUGAUUUGUGAGUAAAUAAGCUGUGAUCAAAAAAAUCAAAUCUGAUACCUUCUGGUUUUGGCUUUUGAAGUCCUUUAUUUACAGUUCUUGGUUCCCACUUGUUCACCCUGUCAGGAACAGAGGGAGCAGUAUAAAAGGCUUUUCCUUGUUUUGCAGAAGGUUUAUAAGCACCUUUGAUUUGACUGAUUUUCAAGUGGCCCACACAUUACCAACUGUCCUUCACAUUUUUGACAUUUUCUCCUCAAGGACGGAUCCUGAUGGAACCAUAAAGAUGCUGUCUUCUCAUCUCUGCCUUUUCUCACCUCUCUGCUUUUUCCUUCUUUUUCAUUCUCUUGCUCUCCAGGUCCUUCUGCUAGCGAAAGGCUUUCCCGAAAGGUAACUGUUUUUUUCUCUCCCAUUUCAUUGUACCAUGUGUUCAAGCAGGCUAUUUCCUGCCAACAGACCAUUUCAUCUGUCAAGAGAUGGCAAAGUGUACUUCUGCUUGUAAUCAGAGUCAGGAGACGAGUUUAGGAGGGAACAAAGCUGCUGUUGAGGAAACUGUUCACCUGGAAAAGGAUAAGAGCGGCGUUCCGGUAAAAGAAUUGGAGGCAGAACUCCGCUCCGACCGGAGAGAUCAGGAGUGCGGCCUGUUUUCGCUGCAUAACACCAUGACAGGAGCCGCAGUCGCUCUUAUGAAAGAAAAAAAUAAAAAAUUGACUCUCAAAUUGUGAA